GAGAGUGCAUGGUGACUGUAUGUUAUGUACCAGGGGUAUGUUCAUGCGCCCAUCGUCCACGGCAGGGGUUAUUGAUAGUGACGUACGCUUGCAGUGCACCUUCCCAGUCGCCUGUCAGCCAGAUGCGUGCUGGCAGGUCCGGCCCAGCCCCCCCCCCUCACACACCCCCUGACAGCUCCCACACAGCAGGGAGGUUGAGGGGGACACAUUGUCAGACACCCAGGCCCCCCGCUUCCUUCCCCCAGCCCUGCAACGCUGCAAUGUCACGGCAGACAGCUCGCGGCGUCGCUCCCCUCAGCUCCCCUCACCCCAGCCUGACUAGCAGAGCCCCCAGGACCAGGAUGAACCAUUUCACUGGGAGCUUUACAUCACUGUCUGUUUCUACUGUGGCGUUUAGGAGACAUAUCUCCCCCUAAAUAGCUUGUUUAACGCUAGCGUUUCCAGAAGGUGUUUCGGUGUUUCAUCCCCCACCACCACUCGUGUCCCCGGUCCUCUCAACGGCUGUCUCAGACAGUUUUGUGGUAUCCAAUUGGUAGUUACAGUCUUGUCCCAUCACUGCAACU